rnacentral:tRNA from 1 species
GUGGGUGUAGCUCAGUUGGUAGAGCCCCGGAUUGUGAUUCCGGAUGUCGCGGGUUCGAGUCCCGUCACUCACCCCA